rnacentral:rRNA from 1 species
GACGAACGCUGGCGGCGUGCUUAACACAUGCAAGUCGAACGGAAAGGCCCUGCUUUUGUGGGGUGCUCGAGUGGCGAACGGGUGAGUAACACGUGAGUAACCUGCCCUUGACUUUGGGAUAACUUCAGGAAACUGGGGCUAAUACCGGAUAGGAGCUCCUGCUGCAUGGUGGGGGUUGGAAAGUUUCGGCGGUUGGGGAUGGACUCGCGGCUUAUCAGCUUGUUGGUGGGGUAGUGGCUUACCAAGGCUUUGACGGGUAGCCGGCCUGAGAGGGUGACCGGCCACAUUGGGAAUGAGAUACGGCACAGACUCCUACGGGAGGCAGCAGUGGGGAAUAUUGCACGAUGGGCGGAAGCCUGAUGCAGCAACGCCGCGUGCGGGAUGACGGCCUUCGGGUUGUAAACCGCUUUCGCCUGUGACGAAGCGUGAGUGACGGUAAUGGGUAAAGAAGCACCGGCUAACUACGUG